rnacentral:rRNA from 1 species
AGAGUUUGAUCCUGGCUCAGGACGAACGCUGGCGGUGUGCUUCACACAUGCAAGUCGAGCGAGAGAGUUCGGUGUAGCAAUACAUUGAACAAUCUAGCGGCGGACGGGUGAGUAACGCGUAGGAAUCUGCCUUAGAGUGGGGGAUAGCAGACCGAAAGGUCUAUUAAUACCGCAUACGUGUACACUUCGACAGAUAUGUA